CCUACGGGUGGCAGCAGUGGGGAAUAUUGGACAAUGGGGGGAACCCUGAUCCAGCCAUGCCGCGUGUGUGAAGAAGGCCCUCGGGUUGUAAAGCACUUUCAGUGAGGAAGAACGCCUGGUGGUUAAUACCCAUCAGGAAAGACAUCACUCACAGAAGAAGCACCGGCUAACUCCGUGCCAGCAGCCGCGGUAAUACGGAGGGUGCGAGCGUUAAUCGGAAUUACUGGGCGUAAAGCGCGCGUAGGUGGCUUGAUAAGCCGGUUGUGAAAGCCCCGGGCUCAACCUGGGAACGGCAUCCGGAACUGUCAAGCUAGAGUGCAGGAGAGGAAGGUAGAAUUCCCGGUGUAGCGGUGAAAUGCGUAGAGAUCGGGAGGAAUACCAGUGGCGAAGGCGGCCUUCUGGACUGACACCGACACUGAGGUGCGAAAGCGUGGGUAGCAAACAGGAUUAGAUACCCUUGUAGUC
rnacentral:rRNA from 1 species